GUUGCUGGAGAUUUUUCCCUCAGUGGUAUCCAUUGGGCCAGCUCUAGCACCUUCCUUCUGGUCAUACGCCUCAGAGUAAAGGGCCCCACUAGCCCCACACCUCCUCAGCUCCUUCUUGCCAGUAACUCCGACAGAGGGGCAGGAGGGUGAGUUUGGAAUGGAUAUGAGCAACACAUCUCGAAGAACAACAGUUAC